rnacentral:rRNA from 1 species
GACGAACGCUGGCGGCGUGCCUAAUACAUGCAAGUAGAACGCAGUUGCGCACGGGUGAGUAAAGCAUAGGUAACUGCCUGGUAGCGGGGGGUAACUAUUGGAAACGAUAGCUAAUACCGCAUACUACCAGAUGGACCUGCGUUGUAUUAGCUAGUUGGUGAGGUAACUGCUCACCAAGGCAACGGUACAUAGCCGACCGUGGAAGGGGAUCGGCCACACUGGGAAUGAGAAAAGGGCCAGGAUCCUACCGGAGGCAGCAGUAGGGGAACUUCGGCAAUGGGGGGAACCUUGACCGAGCAACGGCGCGGGAGUGAAGAAGGGUUUCGGAACGGAAAGCUCUGUUGUUAAGGAAGCGGUACUUAACCAGAAAGGGACGGCUAACUACGUGCCAGCAGCCGCGGUAAUUC